GCGCCACCGGGUGCGUACCCUGCGUUCCCGGCUGCUCGGGAUGCUCCGCUGCGCGCAACGUUUGGCGUCGUGAGAGGCGUGGCUGCUUUUCCAAGGGUUGCUUCUAAAGCUCCGGGCUUCUCUGUGAGGGAGCCGCGUUGCUUUAGUGUGCUUCUGUGCUUUGGCCUUAACUCUGACCCAGAGUUUCUGCAGUUUGAAUCAAUAACGACUGGGCGGUUUGACCUAGGUUCAACUGUAGGUCAGUCCCCAACCAGGUUCCUGGUGCUUUCGGGAAUUGGAGCUGUGUGAAAAAUUGAGUACGUCAGGAGGCCCACCAGUUGGCAUUCCCGUCCCCAAGUUCUUGCCCCAGUUCCGUGAGCAGCGUUGAGUACCCUCUGAUAGUGUCCUUCCUUUUCCUGCACCGCACGUAAGGUUCUGUGCCCAGUGUAGAACCCAAUACAGGGCUUGAAUUCACGAUCCUGAGAUCAAGACCUGAGCUGAGACCAAGAGUUGGACGCUUAAUUGACUGAGC